UGCUCCAUUGUCAUUCAAAGUAUAAUAUUUUAUUUAAAUAUCUACUAUUAAACUUUAGUUAAGCUAAUCGCAUUUAUUAAAUCGAUGAGACUAAAAAAAGCAAUCAACAAAGUUUCUUAAAUUCUCAUUAAAAUGAUAAAACUAAAAUUCAAUAUUCAUACGUCACAACAAUAAUAUCCACUUACAUGUUAUAAUAAUUAUAACAAUCAAACUCUCCAACUGAAGAAAAAAA
rnacentral:lncRNA from 1 species